CAAUGGUUCACUGCCACAAGUGAUUAAAAGGGAACGGGGUGAGAAUCCCCGACAGUCCCGCUGCUGUGAGCCGCCCUUACCAGGAACGAACAACAAAGCCACUGGGCAUUGCCGGGAAGGCGUUCGUAAUCCGGGCGGCAAGUCAGAAGACCUGCCUUGCGA
rnacentral:ncRNA from 1 species